rnacentral:rRNA from 1 species
UACGUAGGGGGCUAGCGUUGUCCGGAAUCAUUGGGCGUAAAGCGCGUGUAGGCGGUUCGGUAAGUCUGCUGUGAAAGUCGGGGGCUCAACCCUCGAAUGCCGGUGGAUACUGUCGGACUAGAGUGCGGAAGGGGCGAGUGGAAUUCCUGGUGUAGCGGUGAAAUGCGCAGAUAUCAGGAGGAACACCGAUGGCGAAGGCAGGUCUCUGGGCAUUAACUGACGCUGAGGAGCGAAAGCAUGGGGAGCGAACAGG